AGGUUUUAAAGCGUCUUGUGACUACUGAAGUCGCCUCUACUUUGUGCUGCCCUAUGCACAUUGUUCAGCUCAUUCCCUACUUUUUCUAAAACCUGGAUGUCUGAAGAUCCGCAAAGACAUUUGAGUCACUACCUCUAAUUUUCUGCUUCCAUCAUCAAUAAAUGGACAUCUCUGAGUGCCAAGUGUCCUGUCACAGUACCACAUCAUGUUUUUACAAAGAGCACAGAGGGCAAGACUGAAGAAGGGACUAUAUGGACAUGUGCAGAGUAAAGUGGAUAAAUCAAUCAACACAGUAGGAAGCCAUUUAAGAAAAUCCCCAAGAAGUUGGGUCUGCCUCAUGCAAUCUGUUUAUCUCAGUUCCAUAUGUCAAGAGGACAUUUCUGCAGCUUAAUCAAGAAACAAGAUGACAAUCAUAACAGAUAACAGAUAUUUAUACUUCUGUUUCCCUGAUAUGCUCAGAUAUCUCUAAUUGGUAAAUGGUGGACAUUGUAGUCUUUAGCAUUUUCUGGCAAUUUGAUCAUGUUUGAUUUAAGGUUAGUUUCGAGAAACUAGGAAAGGAGGCCUUCAAGCUUUUAAGCUAGGGCAUUAAACAUAAAUGAAAGAUUAAACAAAUAUAUACAGAGCAUCCUAAGAGCUAUUUUUUUCCUUUUUUCUGAUGCAUCUGAACUAUUGAAAGGUGACGGUUUAGGACACAUUGUAAGUCUGAUUAAUUGAAUCUGUCACCAUAUUUUACCCAUGUCAAACUAUUUAAGUAGCUUGCUACAACUUGUAUAAAAACAUGGUUUUAGGAUGAUCGGAUUGUGUGUGUGUGUGUGUGUGUGUGUGUGUGUGUGUGUGUGUGUGUGUGUGUGUGUGUGUGUGUGUGUGUCUGUGUCUGUGUGAUUGUGUGACUGUGUGUGUGUGCGCGUGUUCAUGCAUGUUGGUGUCAUAUUGGUGUCUGUAUUGGCUGAUGCAUCUCUGAGAACAAAGAACAAAGUUUUGAGUUAAUUGUGUUCAUGAUAUAUGGCACUUUACAGUGAGUACUGUAAAAUAAUAGUACACAAGCACAUUUAUGCUCAUUUGUAUGUAUGUACAGUAUAUAUAAGUAUAGAUACGUGUGUUUUUGUGUCGUGUGUAUAUGCCUAAAUGUGAGUACUAUUUGAUGUGUUUGUGAUUUCCAUGAGGAGACGCAGUAUUCUCCUCUAAAUGUGUGCUAUGACUCAGUAUGUAUAGUGUCAUAUAAACAGGCUGUAAGGUGCUCGCAUAUAGAAGUUCAGAUAAAGACAAACAAUACUCUUUAAUGUUUUUUGGAUUAUGUAACUGCAGUUUUAUGUUUAAAAUGUGGCAUAAAAUAUAUAUUUUUAGCACUAUAAGCUUUCUGAUAAAAUGUGAC